CUGCACGUCCACGAAGGAAUGGAUACAUCAAUAGUGCCGUGUUUCAAGCUUGGAGGCUUGAACCCACACACUAAACAGCCAGCAAACCCACAAACCAGAAGCCUGGGACCUGACCCUUGUUGACCCUUGGGGCCUGCAACUUGCAAAGAAGCCAGAAUUCAACAGACGGCGGUGGCGGGCACGCAAGCUGCUAGGGGUCCUAGUGUGCACGCCGGGAUGGCGCCAGAGUUAGUAAUAUUGAUACGACAGCUUCGCGAGCGUUCCUUUUUCAGGCGUUCAUUUCCAAUUUCCCACAGCCAUGCCGAAACCGGGAGCAACAGUGGGAGCUAGGUCGAAUAUGACGGGG
rnacentral:sRNA from 2 species